rnacentral:lncRNA from 1 species
CAGAGUUCCAGAAGCAACCAGAAGUUUUGGUGGCUCUGCAUCCGGACAUCUCUCUGCAGGGAACUUUGGGGAUUGCAACAGUCACGAACCUCGUGCCCAAAAAUCUCCAAACGAGAGGCUUCUCCUGCCAGCUCUGCCAGGGCAUCCCAUGUACAGAGAUCCCACAGUGGAGAGCUGCCUUCAGAAAGCUUCACCCCAAGGAUGUGUAACUUGAUGCAGUAUUGACCAGACAUAUUUAGGAGGAGAAAACAGGAUUUGCUUCUUACCUAAAAGAAAAUAUAGCUGCCCAUUCAACAAGAAAUGAAUCCUGAAUCCUGGUCUCUCUGGAAAACCAAACCAACCAAAUCAGCCUCCUGCUUUUCAUUUACAUUCCAUUAAGGCUUGUUAACUUAACCUCAGCUCCCAGAGCUCUGGAGCAUUCUAUAGGUCGGACUGAGUGCUUUGUUAACUACCUUGAUGAACCAAUCAAGGCUUGGCUAAGUCAGAGAAGAAGCAGACAAACCCUGGGAGACAUCUGUACAAGAAAAGGCAUAAUCUGGACGCUGAGCUUUGAAGGAAUUUCACACUUGGAAAAAACGAGAGGCAGAUUCGCCUGCAUGAGGUUGGGGUGAGCUGGCAAGCUUCUUGUUUAACCCUACAUUUCCUCCAAGACAUCCUCACACCUCCGUGUCCCCACAUCCCCAUGUCCACACCAUCCUGGGUUCCUGGCUCACACUGCUGCCCACAGGCAGGUUGAGCUGAGAUUUACCAGUUAGACUGUCCAGACUAUACCUGAGUAAAUCAAAGUUGCCUUACCUCCUGUUAACUAACCUGACCACUUACAGAACUGGUAUUAUCAUUAUGUCCAAGCACUAUGGGAUGCUUCUGUGCUUUUAUCAUUGCUUUUCCCUGAAGCUAUAAACGAGAAACUAAGCCUUGAGAAUGACAAACAGCUGAUCCUCAAUUGACCCUUUGGACUGCUGACCCUAAUGGCAG